GGAACCUGCACACGUUGCGGUGCAACAAUGGUCAAAGA
rnacentral:ncRNA from 1 species